rnacentral:rRNA from 1 species
UCGCCAGACUCCUACGGGAGGCAGCAGUGGGGAAUAUUGGGCAAUGGGCGCAAGCCUGACCCAGCAACGCCGCGUGAGUGAAGAAGUAUUUCGGUAUGUAAAUCUCUGUCAGCAGGGAAGAAAGCAAUGACGGUACCUGACCAAGAAGCCCCGGCUAACUACGUGCCAGCAGCCGCGGUAAUACGUAGGGGGCAAGCGUUAUCCGGAAUUACUGGGUGUAAAGGGAGCGUAGACGGCUGUGCAAGUCUGGAGUGAAAGGCGGGGGCCCAACCCCCGGACUGCUCUGGAAACUGUAUGGCUGGAGUGCAGGAGAGGUAAGCGGAAUUCCUAGUGUAGCGGUGAAAUGCGUAGAUAUUAGGAGGAACACCAGUGGCGAAGGCGGCUUACUGGACUGUAACUGACGUUGAGGCUCGAAAGCGUGGGGAGCAAACAGGAUUAGAUACCCGUGUAA